rnacentral:rRNA from 1 species
CAGCCGCCACGGGAAUACGGAGGGUGCGAGCGUUAAUCGGAAUUACUGGGCGUAAAGGGUGCGUAGGUGGUUAAUUAAGUUGUCUGUGAAAUUCCUGGGCUUAACCUGGGCAGGUCAGAUGAUACUGGUUGACUCGAGUAUAGGAGAGGGUAGUGGAAUUUCCGGUGUAGCGGUGAAAUGCGUAGAGAUCGGAAGGAACACCAGUGGCGAAGGCGGCUACCUGGCCUAAUACUGACACUGAGGCACGAAAGCGUGGGGAGCAAACAGGAUUAGAUACCCCCGUAGUCCCUGUCUCUUAUAC